CUUAAUAACAAUUAGUUUUGAAAGACAAUAGAAACUUUUACCCUAGACACCCAAAUUCUCUUAAUCAAUGUUUACUCAAUUCUUAAAUUUUUGGAAGUCACGAUGGCUGCAAUGGAUUUGAGCUCUGAAGCCUCCGUUGAUUUGAAGCUUCCUUCAAUGGCUACUAUGGAUUUGAGAUGAAGCACGCAUCAAUGGCUACUAUGGAUUUGAGAUGAAGCACGCAUCAAUGUUUUCUUUCUGCUUGAACUGAAGUGCACUAAGAGAAAAAUAAGGACUACCUUGAACAAUCAUGGAGAACUCUUGAAAAAGAAGAUGGAUGGAUUACAGUAGAGUCAGUAAAGAGUAUUUAGAUGGAGUAGAAAAUAUUUGUGAUUUAGAAGAUGACAACAAUGGUUGGGUAAGAGGUGGAGUUGAUGGUAUAUAAAUCGUUACGGACUGAAAUUUCAACUUCCUCCAAUAGAAGAGAUAUACUGAAAAUCGCCCUCCAUUUCGCAUCUGUUAGAGGCCAUGUUUUUGGGAGGAAGAACAUCGGGAUUAUGUCAGGCCAUGUUUCUGGGAGGAAGAACAUUGAGAUUAUAUCAGGUAUCUUUUUCUCCAAAUCUAUUUCCUCAUUAUACUGAAUUUGAAGCUAUUGCCUUAGGUAUGUUACAUUGUAGUCCUUCUAGGUAACACUAGUGACUAGUCCAUAGUAGUAGAAUAAUUUGGAAGAUGAAAUUGCAGACAUUUAUAGCAUACUCAUGCUGAUACUCAUGCCAAUAUUCUGCUCAUACAAAUACAAAUGUUGAUUUUCUGCUUAUACAUGGAGCAUUACAUGUUUGAGUUACUAUAUUUGGACAAGAUGGUAAGGUCUUCCUUAUCGUUCUUGCAUAAUUGAUUUAUUAGACGUUGUUGUUCCAACCAAGUUGGACAAGAAUUCCUUCAUAUGUGGGCGUUCAUUUGGAUCCUCAUUCAAGCAUUUUACUGCUAAGUCUGUGAUGUUAUUAGCAAACUCAUCAUUAUCUUGCAAAAUUGAUUUAUCCACUAUUGAACUUUUUUUUCUCCUUGGAGCUGCUUCAUAAUCUAGUGUUGGGUUGCCAUUUUCUUCUCUAUUUCGUCAAAUUUUAGUCACCUGGUCUUAGUGAGUAAGAUAUGUAAUUGUCAUAUCAAAUGGUGAGCUUGUUCAAGGAAUGACAGACUGAUCCAGGAAGCUGCACAUUUUGCAUUAGGGAAAAAUAGUGGCUUUAUUGCCUUGCUUUCUCCAUUGUCGAACAUAUUUUUUCUAUUUUUAUAAUUCGUAGUUUCUUUUACCGCUAACAAUACAAGAAAGUGAAUGUAAUAAAGAUUGUUUGAUCUUAUUUUAAGCGAAUGACAUUGUUUUGAGUUUGGUAA